AGCUGGGCGCUGGUGGCUCAUGCCUGUAAUCCUAGCUACUCAGGAGGUUGAGAUCUGAGGAUUUCUAUUCAAACGCAGCCCCAGCAGAAAA